rnacentral:rRNA from 1 species
UGGGGAAUAUUGGACAAUGGGCGCAAGCCUGAUCCAGCAAUGCCGCNUGAGUGAUGAAGGCCUUAGGGUNGUAAAGCUCUUUUACCCGGGAUGAUAAUGACAGUACCNGGAGAAUAAGCUCCGGCUAACUCCGUGCCANCANCCGCGGUAAUACGGAGGGAGCUNGCGUUAUUNNGAAUUACUGGGCGUAAAGCGCACGUAGGCGNCUUNGUAAGUUAGAGGUGAAAGCCUGGANCUCAACUCCAGAAUUGCCUUUAAGANUGCAUCGCUUGAAUCCAGGAGAGGUGAGUGGAAUUCCGAGUGUAGAGGUGAAAUUCGUAGAUAUUCGGAAGAACACCAGUGGCGAAGGCGGCUCACUGGACUGGUAUUGACGCUGAGGUGCGAAAGCGUGGGGAGCAANCAGNAUUAGAUACCCUNGUAGUCCNCCCCGUAANCGAUGAUAACUAGCUGUCCGGGGACUUGGUCCUUGGGUGNCNCAGCUAACGCAUUAAGUUAUCCGCCUGGGGAGUACGNCCGCAAGGUU